rfam:Schistosoma curassoni strain Dakar, Senegal genome assembly, scaffold: SCTD_scaffold0016935
AUCCAACUGAAGAGUCCCUAAACAGGAAGAAACGCGAGUCCUGGAU